rnacentral:lncRNA from 1 species
CAGCGUAAAAACCCUUCAUUUAUGCUUUUAUGUAUGACCCGGGUUUACACUUCAUUUAUGCUACAUUAGGAUGAAGAUUUUAUUAAAAACAUGACAGAUUGGUAACAUUAUCGGCGAGCCCUAUAUCAUACUACAAACUGCAUGUCCUAUCCAGAAUACAUUGCACUCGUUGCAAAAACGAUCAAAUAAUGGAUCGUGAUCGUAAGCGCAGUCUAGCUCCUUAAUGACUUCACCAUUUCGAUAUUUGAAACUGUUGGCGUAGGUGUCCAUUUGUGUUGGAUGGGACGAUGAUAGUUUCCACUCCAAUGAAUUACAUAUUUGUCUGACUCUCUCCGAAUGAAGUUGGU